rnacentral:rRNA from 1 species
UACGAAGGGGGCGAGCGUUGUUCGGAUUUACUGGGCGUAAAGGGCGCGCAGGCGGCCAUUCAAGUCAGGCGUGAAAGCCCCGGGCUUAACCUGGGAGGUGCGCUUGGGACUGGGUGGCUAGAGAUCGGGAGAGGAGAGUGGAAUUCCCAGUGUAGAGGUGAAAUUCGUAGAUAUCGGGAGGAACACCAGUGGCGAAGGCGGCUAUCUGGGCUGAAACUGACGCUGAGGCGCGAAGGCUAGGGGAGCAAACAGG